CUCAGCAGAGCCAUAUAUUGCUAUUAAGUAAAUGCUAUCCUGAUGUGAUCCCAACACCUGCCAUUAAAGAUGGCCUCGAAUUCUUUGCUGCUUCUCCUAAUGAAAGGUGGAGGAUAAUUCCCCUCACCUGGAGUCUGGGUUGGUCUUAGCGACUUAUCUAACCAAUAAAAUGUAGGAGAAUUAGUGUUCUGGAACUUAUGGGGCUAGGUCACAAAAAGCCUUGAGCCUUAAAGUUUCCACCCACACCUUUUGGAGACACUCCCUCUGGAAACCCAGCUGCCAUGCUGUAACUCAAGCGCAAUGGAGAGACAAUAUGUCAGUGCUCAAACCAACAGCCACAGCAAAGUCCCCUGCCAAGAGCAGCAUCAACAGUCAACCACCCCAGCCCAGACACAGGAGUAAAGAAGCCAUCCUAGAAGUGGAUCCUCCAGCCCCAGCCACUUCAACUGACAUCCUAUGGAUCAGAGACAAACUACACAGUGAACUGAACAAAAUAACCUAAACGAUGGAAGCCAUUGGUGAAAUGAAUCCGGAUGGAGCUUAUCAAAUGUGAAUGGCCCAGAGUGUGGAAAACCAGUGCCCUCAGAAAUGAAAGAAAAGGUUCAAUGGCCCUGGUAUGAUGAAUCGCUUCUGGCAAAAUUUAAUUCUAAAGAAAUGGCAAAGAUAAUCACAUACUUUCACAGAAAAAGUCUGUCCUGAAGAAGGGCCUCUCCCCUUUUGACUCUCAAAACAAUUUUAGAACCAAGCAUUAGCUUUAAUCCAGCACUCUGGUAAGCACAAAGAAAAGAAAGGACAGCUGAACCAAAGAAUACAGUGAGAGUUAACACUAUGCCAGCAUCUGGGCCCAGGCCUUAAGAAACUGGCAGUUUUCACUUCCUGUCUCCUGAAACUCAACUACCAUACUGUGAGGAAACCCCAGCCACCUGCAGAAAGGCCUCUGUGGAGAGGAACCAACAAGCAGCACCAACCUGCCAGCAAUAUGAGUGACACAUCUGGAAAACGGCUCCUCCUGCCCCGGUUAAGCCACUCCAACUGACAACAACUACAGCAGAA